AACGAACGCUGGCGGCAGGCUUAACACAUGCAAGUCGAGCGCCCCGCAAGGGGAGCGGCAGACGGGUGAGUAACGCGUGGGAAUCUACCCAUCUCUACGGAAUAACGCAUGGAAACGUGUGCUAAUACCGUAUACGUCCUUCGGGAGAAAGAUUUAUCGGAGAUGGAUGAGCCCGCGUUGGAUUAGCUAGUUGGUGGGGUAAAGGCCUACCAAGGCGACGAUCCAUAGCUGGUCUGAGAGGAUGAUCAGCCACGCUGGGACUGAGACACGGCCCAGACUCCUACGGGAGGCAGCAGUGGGGAAUAUUGGACAAUGGGCGCAAGCCUAAUCCAGCCAUGCCGCGUGAGUGAUGAAGGCCCUAGGGUUGUAAAGCUCUUUCACCGGUGAAGAUAAUGACGGUAACCGGAGAAGAAGCCCCGACUAACCUCGUGCCAGCCGCCGCGGUAACAC
rnacentral:rRNA from 1 species